rnacentral:piRNA from 1 species
GGUUUUUCAAUUUCUGAGUUGUCCAAAUGG